AAUAGAUACCCGGGUAGUCCACGCCGUAAACGAUGAGUGCUAAGUGUUAGAGGGUUUCCGCCCUUUAGUGCUGCAGCUAACGCAUUAAGCACUCCGCCUGGGGAGUACGGUCGCAAGACUGAAACUCAAAGGAAUUGACGGGGGCCCGCACAAGCGGUGGAGCAUGUGGUUUAAUUCGAAGCAACGCGAAGAACCUUACCAGGUCUUGACAUCCUCUGACAACUCUAGAGAUAGAGCGUUCCCCCUUCGGGGGACAGAGUGACAGGUGGUGCAUGGUUGUCGUCAGCUCGUGUCGUGAGAUGUUGGGUUAAGUCCCGCAACGAGCGCAACCCUUGAUCUUAGUUGCCAGCAUUUAGUUGGGCACUCUAAGGUGACUGCCGGUGACAAACCGGAGGAAGGUGGGGAUGACGUCAAAUCAUCAUGCCCCUUAUGACCUGGGCUACACACGUGCUACAAUGGAUGGUACAAAGGGCUGCAAGACCGCGAGAUCAAGCCAAUCCCAUAAAACCAUUCUCAGUUCGGAUUGU
rnacentral:rRNA from 1 species